UAUAGUGAUCUACGUGGAUAAAGAAAACAACCAAGCAAAGAGAGACAUCUUAAAGGCAAUACUACUGAAACAAGAGCUGCCUUACACGAGUGUUCGCUUCACGGUGGUCAGCGACCCCCCAGAGGAUGAACAGGAUCUGGAGUGCGACGACAUUGGCAUUGCUGACGUUGACCUCGCGGACAUGUUUCAGGAAGGGAGAGACAUCAUCGAGCAAACUAUCGACGUCUUUGAUGCACGGGCAGGUGGUGGAUGUAUCGGCAAGCUCAGGAUAACCAUCGAAGCGCUCCAUGCCCUACAGUCUGUCUACGAGCAAUACAGAGAUGACUUAGAGGCAGAAAGAAGCCGUUCCAGAGGCAUCUCCUGCUCCUGAGUAAAUGCUAACAUGAGAGUUCGGAGAUGAGAUUUCUGUAAUUACUCUGGUGUAUAUAAUCUAUAAUUCAUGGGACGCAGGGUGGGGGAGGCCUGGGUUGGUAGUGUUCAAGUUUUGUAUACUUUUCCAUUUGUUUAUUUUUUCUAUUCCCUCCUUCCCAUGACUGCUACCCCUCAGGACUUCAGUUCUUCACCAUGGGCAGUACCUUCUCAAUAAUUUAUACCUACAUGAUAGCAUGAGAAAAUCUAUUUGCAUUUUCAACACUUUCUUAUGAAGAACCGACAUGCAAUUCCCAUUUUUACUUUUAAUAAGCAAAAAGGAUAAAUCUUAGAAAACCUAUGAAAAGGAAUACUUUCAUGUUAUCCCUAAUCGUCCCACUAAAUGGAAUGCCUAUGAUUAGCCUCAUUAAGAGUUUUAUACUGUGAAGAUUUUAUUAGAAGCAAUAUAUGAAAAUUACUUGGAUUAAUGUGUUAAUCUUCCUCUUUAAAAUGCUAAUAUCCAUUUUAUGCACAUUAAAGCUCAGUGUGCAUUUUCUUUGAUGCAUGCAGUUUCUAUCAAUUAAAUAUAAAGAAUGAGACUUGGCACCAACUUAUUAAAUUACUGCAAGUUUUUGGUUUUCUUUCUUAAAAAAUCACACUUCUUCCCAUUUGCAUGAUUUUUAUGGAUUUGUAAUGGUGAAAUGGGAUCCAAGGAUGUGUGUAUGUAAAGAAGAGAUAGAUAGGUACAUAUAUGUAUAUACAUGAAAUUCAUGUUUUGAAAACUUAGCUUAUGGCACAGAAAGAAAUUAUUAAAAGUAUGGCUCAAAUUCUGAUAUGCUUAGUUAGACCUGAAAGGAAUAUCUUUUUUAUCAUUUUUUAAAUUUACAUCAAGCUUGUACAAUGGUGGGGUGUAUCUGGAUAACCAGAUCCUCGAAAAGCAGCUCAGAAAGUUAAUUUUCUAGCUUUUACCCAAUCUCACUGAAGGAUUUAAUUGAUAUUUUUAAUGGAGCUGUGAAUCAAUGCUGCAAAGGAAUUGUCUCUGGAGGUCUAGGAUAUAAUGCAUUUCAUUUUUUAAUUUACUUUUUUAUUUGUCAUUUUCUUCAAAGGAUUUUUAUAGGCUGUGGGUUUUCACUGUUUGCAAACAGGCUAUGUUCCUUCUUAAGCAUAUGUAAAGUAUUCAGGGAGAUAAGUAAUUUAUUAAAAUCUACCUAAUUUGCCGUGAUAUAUUAAAUCUCUGCUUCAGUGAUCACAGACCAUUUCAUUUAGAGAAUUAGGCAUUCCCUCUUUGUGUGAUUAAAGCUCUGGAAAAUGAGUUCUUUGCUCCUAUUUGUGAACAUUCAAAGCCUGCUAAUGGCAAGAAGAUGGAAUAGAUUAUGAGACAAUUCAUUACAGUUCAACAGAAAAAAAAAAAAGCAGCUAUAAUGCAAAAAUGCAAGUAUGAAUAUCUGCAUAUAGUUUGAACCAUCUGUGCUCUAAUGGCUUCAAUAAUGACUCUCGUCUUUAGGAGGCUUUGAAAUGACAUCCGUACAAUAUUAAUUUGUUGAUGUACAUUGUGGGACCAGUAGAGUACGAUCUGACCACAGAAAUCUAUAAAUUCUGUCUCUGCCAUUGGGCCUCCCUGUCUGGGGCCUGCCAUCUCCAGGAAGAAUCCUGCUCUCAUCAAACUCUGCAAAUCUUCAUAAUAACUCAUUCCUCUGGAACCUUCUAGAGACCACAAACAUCUGCAGACUAAACCUCUCCAAUCCUAGUAAACAGCCACAUGUUUGUUGUCACUUCAGCUGGCUCUGAGCUCAUCUUUUUGGCCUCUCUUUCUAGCUUUCUUUGGCUUCAUGCAGUUACGGUGUCAUUAAGGCCCAUAAUAUUCCCUGCAGUAAUUUAAAACAGCCGGAUUAUACCCUGGGAUUAACGGAGUGGUUUUUGAGACAUUUAUUGUGGUAUUCUCCCAGGAGGUUUGUAUUAUUGUUUUAAAAUGUUACAUCCCAAACUAAAUACCCUUUCUGCAGGGAAAAGAACUGGAUUGCACUGACUUCUUAUGAUCUUUAAGUAGAGAGGGGGAGUUUUUAUUAGGGAACUUCUGAGACCUCGUCAGCUGGGUGGAAUGUAUACCUCAGAUACGAUUAGAGAACAAGCCAUGUUUCUGUCACAUUCGUGUUUGCCGUAGAGAUUAUUAAAGAUUCCUUUUCUAGUUUUAAAAUAACGCAACUUCCAACUAUGUAAAUUCUUAUAAGGCUCAUUUUCUUAAGUAAUCGAAUAGCUGCCGACGUAUUCUGAAGUGGGUAAGCGGUAUUGAAUGCCAUCAUAUGGAUGCUUCGAGUGGGUUUCAGAAUCUGUUCGAGAAUAAUUUUUUUAUCCUGUCUUGUGUUGAUCAGAAUUCAUUGAAAAAAGUUCACCACCUUUUUGGAUUACAGAGCAGUGGUUUUCUCUUGGUGCGCCAAGCCUGACCCAUUAUGGUGAGGGGGAGAGGGGGUGCCAACAGUGGCCUCGCCACACAAAUACACCAGUUUAAGGCAAGGUUUUUGUGAACUUACAGCUCUUGGUGUAAAUGUACACAGUACACUCAGCACUUUUGGGGGCUGUAAUGCUUUUAGUUUGGAAAUAUAAAUAGAGACGUGAUGUGGUAUGUGGGAGAGUGUAUUUUACAUGGUUUUUGCCUACUGUAGUAGAAAUGUCACAUUCCCAGCCACUGUCAUGAGAAGCAGUUGACAAAAAUAAGUUUUAUGGUUUACAGUGCGGUUUACAUAGAGAACAUUUCUCUUCACUCUCAAUUUCAACAUGUUUUCUAAAUUAUCAUGGUUUAUUGCCAUUUAAGUUAAAUUAGUUUUUUAAGAAUAAAUAGAGAAUAUAUUUAAUCAAAUAAAGAACAGCCACAUUGAAAUUCUGCUGUUCCUGCCGUUCAUUUGUUACCACAAAACACAAAUACUUUCUAUGUGUAUGAAGAAGUGUGGGCUCAGAAGUGGUCAUGUGACUUGGGAGUUUCUGCGUGCACCCACGUUCCCACAACAAAACAUAAUUUAUUUUAGUAAUUUGACAUCAAGAGCUAUGACAAUGAAAACCACUUCUUAACACAUGUUCUGACAAGAAUCUGAUUAACAUUUUUGUGGAUAUGGAAAAUAACUUUUUUUAGUCAAACAGCCACCAUUGCUGAACUUAGAAUGAUUUCCUUAUUCACUAGAUAGCAAAAUGUGAAUCAUGUCUGUGAACAAAUAUGAGAAUAAAUGCCGUCUUUGUGUAGUACAAAACAACCAAGGGAGAGCUCCGGAGAUAUCAAAUUAUUGAGUGAUUGACAAUAUCAGGAUGAUAAUUCACCCCCAACUAUGAGAGUACAUUUCAAUAAGUCACUCAUGCCUGAAGGCCUCUGACUACCUUAACAAAGAAAAACUAAACCCAGGAUUUAUUAUAGAUUGGACAACAUGCCUAAUUAGAUCCAUGAAUGGGAGCAAACAGCUUUACAUCCCUUUUGUUCAGAACAAAAACAACCUCCAGGUCAUCCAGAAAGCUAAAAAAAUAACCAAAGACAAGUGUUUUAAAAACGGAAAAUACAGAAGUAGAAAACAUCCCUCAUCCUAAUCUCUUAUCUUGCAAGAUAGAUUUUUCAGUUCCAUUUCAAAGAGCCACCAGCGGAUUGCACCUUACAAUCUAACCUCCUGGAAAACUGGGCCCAUGUUCCUGGUAUUGUUAUACCUCCUGUUCUUACCCUCUCAUUUUCCAUAUAACAUUGACUUUAUAUCUUUAAACCGUGUUUCUCCUUCAGUUUUUCUGAAGUAAAAAUCUGGUUCUCUCAGAAUGUGGCCUCUUUUCUGUGGUGAACAUCAGCAGGCUUGUCUUCUGACUUUUGCCCCUUCCCACUCUCUGCCAAGAUUGACCUCUUAUCCCUGUAACAGCAUCACCCCUCUCUUCACUGAACACCAUUAGUUUUCUUUGUAAGUCAAAUUUGCCAACUUGAUCUUUCUAUUUCUGUCAUGUUCUGUUUACACCUAUAUUCAACUGAACGUUUCCUCCCACCAGUCUGUCCCGCUACUCAUUUUUAGUCAGUCAAGGCACAUUUUUUCCCCUUUUCUUCUCUUGGUGCUACAACCACUUCUUUAGAUACCAGCACUGGUGACAGCUCCAGUGGAAUUCCCAAAUCUGCCUUUGUGUGAAGACUUUUCUUAAUUUAACAUGACAGGGGCACUUUUAGUCAGCCAUUAUGAAACUGAGGCAACAGCAAGCUAAUUUU